rnacentral:rRNA from 1 species
CAUCAUAGCCAUAUCACCCUGCAACUCACAACUGGCAAUCCACUGAUGCUAAGCAGGUGUGAGCCUGGUCAGUACCUGGAUAGGAGACCUCCUGGGAAAAACUAAGGUUGCUGCUGG